CCUACGGGUGGCAGCAGUGAGGAAUAUUGGUCAAUGGACGAGAGUCUGAACCAGCCAAGUAGCGUGAAGGAUGACUGCCCUAUGGGUUGUAAACUUCUUUUAUAUGGGAAUAAAACGUUCCACGUGUGGGAUUUUGUAUGUACCAUAUGAAUAAGGAUCGGCUAACUCCGUGCCAGCAGCCGCGGUAAUCCGGAGGAUCCGCGCGUUAUCCGGAUUUAUUGGGUUUACAGGGAGCGUAGGUGGAGUGGUAAGUCAGUUGUGAAAGUUUGCGGCUCAACCGUAAAAUUGCAGUUGAAACUGGCAGUCUUGAGUACAGUAGAGGUGGGCGGAAUUCGUGGUGUAGCGGUGAAAUGCUUAGAUAUCACGAAGAACUCCGAUUGCGAAGGCAGUUCACUGGACUGCAACUGACACUGAGGCUCGAAAGUGUGGGUAUCAAACAGGAUUAGAUACCCGUGUAGUC
rnacentral:rRNA from 1 species